CGCUACCGAAGCCCGGCACGCCGCUCCGCAGAGCGUGACAGCCGUGCCUUCCGCGCGGCAUCGCCGCGGCGUGCCUCGGCUCGACCCCUUUAACUUUAUUUCGGGGUUUUGCGGGUUCGGGGGUUUCAUGACCACACGUACCCCGACACUGUAACGCGAGCUCCGUGCUGUACCGCGAGCAGGUAACAGAGCCAAGCACGGGGAUGUGUUUGUUUCCCGCUGAAUGGAGCUACCGGCCAGCGGAGCGGGGACUCGAGUCCGUCUCCCGGUGCAAAUGGCCAAAAGACACUCGAACAAGCGAAGGGACGGAGAGAUAAAAUAGAAAACGUGUUAACAUAGACAGAUAAACGCCCGGCCGGACCAUUCCUCCUCUGCGAACACACGCGGCUAUGAGCGCUCACAUCCCAGCCGGUCACCAGGCACGGCCGCGGGAGCACAGACCUGGGCACAACUCUGUUAGGGAGUAAUUGCCCCUCACCUCCUCACACACACUUUUUCAUGUUGCCACAUGCCCACACGCUUCUGCCGCAGAAAGAAUACAUGUGGCUAAAGCCGCAGGUGCGGAGAUGGUUGGAAAGUUGUAAAAAGCACCUCGACUUGAGAGUGUCCUGCCUGGAAACCUGGUGUGUUCAAACCCCACGGGCUAAGAUGUUUUCGUGACUCAAUUUCAAAGACAAGGCUGCAGCGAUCCCAUUGAUCCUCACGGAGCAAAAAAUAACCUUUACCCUAAACAGUGACCAGCAGGGACUGGGAAGACAGAAAGUGGGAAAGCAACCUUUCCUGGGUAAAAUGUGGGCAACUGCCUUGUGAUUUCCAAACAACCCAGAGCUGAGGAGGUCACUUUUCGGGGAGGGUAGGACAAGGUGGGGGUUCAAAAUACAGACUAGUCACAGAUUGUUGCUGAUGUUGAAUUUCCUGAGGAAAAAAAUAAAAGCCAAAACCCAAACCACAACCCAACACCAACCUUUCCUGUCUCGAAUCUGACAAAGUAAACAGGAUUAAUUCACCAUAUGAAAAAACACAAACGCAGUCCUAACAAACGCAGAAAUAAGAAGAGAAAGCGGUUUUAACAGGACGCACAAUAUUAAUAGUUUGAACGUAUGAUCGUAAAAAUGAAAAACCAUUGAUACACGCUUAAAAGCCGCCGUAUACGCUGAUUGCUCAAGCAUUAAUGAAGAAUGCCCCAGAUUAACUAUUUGCUCUUCGAGGGAUGCAGCGAUAUAACUAUCUAUUAGCACCAUUAGAUGCUUUGCUAUUUAUUUGAAAACACCCCUGCGAGUGGGUUGAGACAGAAGAGAUGAAUGUAAAAAUGAACUGCAGCUAAUUUCGCUAAAUAAUCCUCGAAACCUGAGCGCCUCGCAAGGAAGGGGGAGAUUCUCCACUGUCCUUCUCCGAGGCUAAUGACAAUAGAAAUGCUCUGGUUUAAAAGUGACACCGUGUUGGUUUUCCAAAUAAACAAACGCAUCCCUCCUGCCAUUUUACUGCAGAUGUAAAUUUAUUUUAAUGAGAGGGAGUGGAAGGAUUUAUUUUGCUAAAAUAGAGUUGGGGAUAGAGCCGGUGUAAAUCUUUAGGUUUCAAAAAGAGAAGAGGAAGGAGGGGGAAGCUGAUUUCCUGGCAGAAAGCUGCCUAACAGUCUUCUAAUUCUUUCUAGAUUAAAUCGCAAUAUGAAUACAGCAUCGAACAAAUACCGAGUUUCGCUCUGAACUCAGUGGAAAGCAGUUACGUCUAACAGAAUUCAAUGAAUUCCUCUUCUCCCUCAAUGUAGUAUGUGUGUGUUUUUCUCUUCCACCACACUGAAGUUCCAUGAAUAGGGAAAGUGGCUCCUAUUGUGUGCCUCUGAACUUCCAAGUCAAUGCAAUUUUUAACCACUGGCUUGUGGUACUUUGAAAAUCACCAGGGGCUGUCAGAGUUGGGUCCUCUGAAAAAUUUACAGUGCUAAAUCAGAGCAUAUGCUGUGAGAGAGGAAAAAAAAUUGCUUAAGAUUGGAGCAAGUACAGUAUCUGGCUGCCCCCUAGUGUAAGUCUCUUAUCUGCCUAAAAUUCAACUUUAAAAGAAAAGGAUCUCUUAAAGGGAAACGACUUUUGGCUCACGUAUGCAUACGAGAAUGAAACUUCUGUACAUUUUAAUCUGAUUAAUUCCUAAGGAUUUAAAAUUAAUUGGCUUGGGCACUCCUAGACCGGACUAUAAGAUUUCUGCAUCACGGUUUCUGCGAGAGCUGUGCCGAAUAGGUAUUUUUAAAGGAUAGUGGUAAGGGAUGGGGGGGGAGAUCCUGUUUUGUGAUUUUUUUUUUUUAACGAGGAUCCGUGCCUCGCUUGCUGUUGUCAGAGCAAAACACUUCUGCUGCUUAAAGUCAGAUCUACGUCUUUUGCAAUAAUACUUUGAAAAAAAAAUUUAUAAAGGAUAAAUAAUUGCCUAGAGCCUCAGCCGAUCUGCCAACCACACCUUCGGAUGUUAGAAGGCAGAAAUAUUUGAACUGCUGAAAGAGGUGGGUACUUUUUGGUAAGUAUGUUUAGAUAUGAUCUUCAGAUACAUUUAUUGUACUUUCAAAUUCUUGGGAUACUAAUUGAGCUAGCAAACAAUAUCCCAGCUGAAUGUCUCAGCUUCUUCCCCAUUUAAAAGGCUUUAAUGUAGAAGUAUAUUGUAGCCAUCCUGCUACUAAACAAUGUAGCUGAGGAGUCAGCAAAAAAUGAAAAAAACAUGUUAAAACCAAUUUAUAAUUGCUGCCUUAUAUCUGACUCUUCUUCCUUUCUGCAGUCCUAAUGAACUCUUUAAAGUUUUAUUUAUUUAUUUUUUUAUUUCUGAGUGACAGAUCAAAAAUAAUUAGCAGAAUCAGAAGCAGCCGGGAAGCUUGAAAUAAUGUGUCUAAAUAUUUCAUAUUGCUACUUAUAAUACCAGCCCUUCAUGGUAAAAAGGAACCAUUCCCUAUUUAUUCUGUGGUGGUUUAUAAAUACUGAAGGAUAGAUUAUUUUUUUUUUUUCCCAGGGCCUGCCUCAGCGAUGCCAUAAAUAGAGAUUGAGCUAUCAGGAGGGGAAGAAAAAAAAAGAGAAAGAAUAAAAUAAAAGCAAAACCCUGGACAGGAAUAGAGACAGACAGAUAAAUGUAUAACUGCAUCUGAACAAUGUUACGUAGCACAUUAGGAGUUGGUGGAAAAAAAUUAAAUCUAUCGCAUAUUUAUAACCUCAUAAUUAAAAUACAUUCUUAUCUCUCUCCUCUGAAAGGUUGCAGCUUUCUUGGAAGUAUUUUGAGUGCAUAUUUUAAACUCCAUGUCUCGAAUUGAAUUAAGAUGAGCUGUUUUGCCCAAGAGUAAAACCCUUGUUUACAAUUUAAUAUUUAACUUUCAGCUGCCUGCCCAUCGCCAUAUCAUUUUCUUUAGAUUUCACCUCCUUACAUUUGCAGGCUUUAUUUAAAAUGAUGUUAGCUUAUAUCAAAUCCUAAUUGCUCAUCAUAAGAAAUGAGUCAAUAUAAUCCAAAACAGUCCCCCUGGUCUGAUCGAGGUAAAUUGGAUGAGAAUAUUUCACAUUCAAAGAGUUAAAGCUAAACAGAAAACUUUAAAGCAAAAAGAUACCAGCAAACAGUGAAAAAUGGUACAUCUGCUCUCUCUUGACAAGCUUGCAUUAUAUCACAUGUAAGGAAGCCCAAAUUUUUGAAUCUGAGACCAGUUUUAGUUUUUAAUAGGAAAUAAUUACAUGGAACUUUAUUUCCAGAGAGAAUGUCCCUUCCAGCUACAGUGUUUUGCUUUGAUCUAAGUAUUAACUGGUAAUAAAAUAACCAUAUUUUGGAUCCUAAGCAUAUUGAUGCUUAGAGGAAUGUUAUGCUUUCAAUCAAAUUUUAACUUUAGAUUAUCCGAAGGUAUUCAUCCUUCUUUUGUCAGAAACCAAUUUGCUCUCUUACUCCUACAGCUACUCACAUGUGGUUUGGUAUACUUUGUUAUUUUAUAGUGGAAUUUGCACUAUCGAGGUGGAAAACUUUUAGAUGGAGUGAGAUCAUGUUCCAGCCUGGCAAUUUGGGCUGUUUCUCACCCAGGUCCCCAGUCCAGCCCUUCUUUACACUUGUGCACCACCACCACCUUCGCUCACCUCCGAGGCGACCGCCGUGCCAGGAUUUUGGUUUAAAUAUUCAGAUUUUUUAAAUUUUUUUUUUUUUGUUUUAACCUGGAGAAUCAAUCAUUUGGACCCAUCCUGAACAAUUAACCUCCCCUUUAUAUUCCAGCCCCAAGUGCAGUACUUCAUAAAGACAUGAAAAGGACAUCCCAGUCAGCAGGACCCGAGCCCAGGCUUGUCACUGAGUAUAAAAGGAGAGAGAAGGGGAGUUUUUAUCUCUUUGCCCUGCCAAUUCUUAAUAGUUCUAAGUUUCAGUGUGACAAUAAAACAGUUUUGAUAACAUAGCUCAUGGGUUUCUCUGCCACAUAAAGUUUUCUUAAUAAUAAAAAAGAAGAAACUUUAUCCCUGCUAAAUUAAAAUAGGGCAGAUGUUGGAUAUGGUUCAUAUUAGCCAGCCUUUCACCCCUUUGCCCCUGGCACUAAAGUUCUGACUUUUUCUUUCUACUAUGUCUGUUUCUAACUGAAAGGUAUUAUUCCUGCCCUGGCUCUCUUCUUCUAUUUAUUUUUUCAGUGUCUAAAAUUAAACCUAUUCAUUUAGUAAUAUACAUUCUAUUUCACAUUGCUAAACCUGGCCAGAGAGGGGAAACGUUUUCCAAAAAAGUGAUGCACCACUGACCUUAAAAGAAAACAUGAAGCAGGGAAAGCUGUUCUUAAAAGGUUUAUUUCUUGAGAAUUUUGUAGCUCUGUUGACAUUAUAGGGAUAAUGGCUGUAUUGCAAUGGGCUUUCAAGGCCCAAGAGGUUUAUGUUUUCUUCUGACCAUAAGUCUAAUAAAAUUUUAAAGGUGCACAAAGUCUCAUCACUUUAGAUAUUUAAAACUAGUUUGAAAAAUCUCUUGGGAAACAUACAUUAUGGUGGAUAGCUCCACUGAGAAAGCAGGGGAUAGGAAAAAAAAAAAAUACCCUGAGUCCAAACCCAAAUAAACCCCCCUCAGUUUUUUCAUGCUAGCUCUAUGAAAAUCCUGGCUAUUAAACUCCCAAGGAUAGUACAGCUCUUUUCUCCAGGGCUGUGCAGAUAGAAUUUAUUGUCCAUUUGGAAUGAUCAAGUUUAGGCUAAUAAAAGGCUCUCUGUAAGCAGAAAUGCCCAAGUUGAUGUUUGGCAGAGUUUUCAAUGGUGGAGUUUAUACAGGAUGGGGGCUCUGCACUAUUUGAAAUCACUCCUAUCCCAGCAGCUGAAGAUGAUCUGACACACAAGCAAACGUUAGCAGGCAGUGACUGAAGGUUAAUCAGCGCUGCUUUCUGAGCUGCCUGCUUGAAAGCAGGAAAAAGUGAAAGCUGCUUUCUCCAGCCCUUCCCUAUGCUAAGGUGCUGCUAACUUUUAUGAUUUUUUCCCCCCCUUCCUCUUUUACUAUCUGUCUUUGUGCCUGAGGGCCAGUGAAAGAACACUGCAGAUUCUAGAUUGCUUUCAGAGUUUCCCUUUGCUGAUGAUGGAUUACCAUGUCAAUUUAAACGGCAUAGGAUUAAUUUGUUUCAAUGAUUUCUCUUUAGGCUGAAUGCCAGUCUUUUUUUCUAUCUCUCUCCUUGCUCUUCAGAAAAAAAUAAUAACAAUAAUAAUAAUAAUAAUAAAUCCUUAAACCCCCCAAACACUUUUGAGAUGCCAUGUUAAAAAGACAAUAAUAGAAAUAGACAAGUUAGGUGUAAUGUUGCAACACAGUUGUAGGUUUGAGUGUUUUUAUCUCGUUCUAAGGGGCUGCAGCAUACAGUCAGUCACAUUAAAAUGAAAUUGGAUCCAACGUUUAUUCAAUAAAUACUUGUCUUGUAGGUAAUCCAGAACAGAGUGCUUUUGACACAUAAGGACUUAAUUUGUCUUGGAUAACAAGUUAUUAAUAUGGCACAUUUAAACUUGCCACCUACAAUAAGGUCAUUUAGAUCUAUAAUACGACUCAUGAGAGAACUUCAUAAAGCCAGGAACAAAGUUUGAAACUGCCUCUGAGGCGCGGAGCAGACGCACGGCUCACGGUUUGCUCUUUUCAGAAGAAAGUUCAGAGCAAGUAGGAGCCACCCAAACCCAAAUGGUGUGCAUCUGCUCCUCUUUGAAAGGCAAACGUAAAUGGAGUGAGGAGGGGAGAGGGAAAAAAAAAAAAAAAAAAAAAAAAGGAACCCAAACACACAUUUUUGAAUGAGUAAGCUUUAAAGCUGUGCUGCGUCUGCUCGCAAACUCAUCGCAGCUUUGAAAGUGAAAAAACAACAUUUGGUUCAGAGUGGAAAUUCGCCUGCAUUUGCACCCUACCUCUUCCAUGUGCUUCGCAAUUUACUCGCUUUUAAUAAUAAGUGAGGAAGUUGGAACAUAAUCCACCCAUAAAUGUUAUUGCUGUAAUUUGUCUGCUCUGUGUUUGUUCAUGCAUUAGUUGUAUAUGUAGAGCAAAGUGGGGAUGGAUGCUGGGGAUCCCCGUGCAGCACGAACAAACAGAGGUGGUUGGGUUUUCAACACCCAAACAGCCUGCAGUUGUUUGCAGUUUUGAGGUGUUUAGUUUCAGACCUAUCCUAACCCAGUGGUGCCUGCAAGAGGUGCAUCAGGAGGGGAAUAUUGUGGGAAUGCUGCUCAGGACGUGUUUGGUGACUGGCAAUUCUGUCUCCACAGUGUGUCCCUGAGCUUUGUUAUUCUGCUUUUCUGUACUAAGCUCUUGGUUGCUCCUGCCCUGGCAGAUUCUGUCUCUUUAAGUAACUAAAUCUCAUUUUUAAGCUAUUCCUGGGAAAAGGAUGUUACACAUGAGUAGAAAAAUGCAGGCAAGAAAGGCUAAUUGAAUGAAAAGAGAGAAUUAGGUUAAAAAUAGAGUACAAUCUAGUAUCACAUUUUCACUAGUGUAACCUGAAAUGAAGGUGUCUCCAAGUCCCCAGUGAUGCCAGAAUGUUUAGAUGUUGGGCACAGAUGGAGACACCUAUUGAAAUGUGUCUGAAGAAGAUUAAUAGGACUUGUCAGUGUUGGGAAAGCACUGCUUUGCUGUAAAUUUCUACUAGCACAAGAUGAAUUACCGAUGAAUGCUCAGUUAUCAACCCCAUCACUAUCAUUGGACACUAAAUCAAAUUGAGCAGUUAUCUACAAUCAGAAAAUUUCUUUUAAAAGUAGGCAUACAUCUUUAGGCUUAAACUCUUUAAUAAGACAAUAUCCUCAAUGGUAUGUGUGUGUUCAUGGAGGGAUAUGAUUUGAAGUUUCUGUACAAAAAGCUUCUGCUCAGAAAUGAACUCCAAGUUCAGUGUGAAAUCAGGGUUGUCAAACAAUAGAAGAUACUCAGAAAAUGCUGGUUAUAUAAUACAGAGUUCUGGUGGGGGCCUGAUCCAAAAUGGAUUUUCGUGUGUGUCAUUAGAUUUUGAAUCCAUCCCUAUUUAUGAGAAGUUUUUUUUCAAUCUCUGCUCUCCCCUUAUUUAUGGUGAUGAUAAACGCCCCCCCUUCUCUCUACCUUAAAGACUGAGCAUCCAAAUCAUACAUUAAUGCAAAAUAGCCAUCAUGACUCAGGAUAUAUGUAUAAUAAUAAUACCACCCCCCAACAUAUUUAGGAAAUUACAGCUUAAUAUAAUGAACUAUGUGAUGAAAGAGUAAAUGAAUAAUAUUUUAACUGAGAAUAUUUCUUUCUCUCCUUCAUGAAAGGGGAAACUGUCACAAGCAAAACUACCACAAGCAUUUACCAGCCCACUCCUGAAGAAUAUUUCCUGCAUUUACCAUCUGAUGACAAUGAUAUUAAAUGAGCAUUACAUACUUUCAGUCUCUAGGAUUUCUUUCCCUCUCACCCAGGCACUGAAUACUUCAUCCAAGGAGAUUUAUCAUGGCGUGUUUUCCAAAGUCAAUUUUUCCCUUUUGUUAGAGACAAGGGCAGUCAUUUGUGUUUAGGGAGGGAGACAGGUACAGAGCCUUUAUCUGAUCUGCGUCCCCAGCCACCAGCACCUUCCUAAUCGACGGCAGAUUCCCUCUCUGGUUUCUUCUCAGCCAAGGAAUGCAUCCUUCCCUUCAUCUCCACAUAUCUCACCUGUGAUGCAUGCUGCUUUUUGAGAAGCUGUGUUUACCACACAGCGUAUUUUCAGAGCCUUUGUGUUUCUCAUCGCCAGCCAAAGCUUAUUAUUCACCACCCUAAAAAUGUACCAGGGUAAGGGAUAGCAGAAGUCAUUCUGUUCAUUUUUACACCCCAAUUUUCACGCAGCAAAUGCCCUGCAUUAGGACCAGGUUCCACUCAGAUGGAAGUUAUUAACUUUGAGCAGAACGGGGCUGAUUUCAGCCUGUGCCCUUCGAACACAGUCGCUUUGCAGCAUCCCCGUGUUUAUUUUUUUCCUUUGGAGGGCAUGAUUCUUUAAACAUAUUUGUUUUACACAGAGCAGCAGUUGAAUCCUAACUUUUUUUUCCCCCCACAAACACGUAAAGAGAAUAUUAAUAGGGAAUAUUAACAGAGGUGAGUGCUGCAUGAAGCUAGUUAGGUUGUAGUAGCUGAGAAAUAUGAACUAGUGAACAUAAUCCAUAAACUCCAUUUGGUUACUAUAAUACUCCAAUCUGUAUUUAUUACAACCCCACUCUGAUGCUUAUACAACUGCAAUUGCUAGAUUUAUACACUCUAAUGGUUUCACAAUAGGAAAAACCUGUGUCUUUAUCUUUCUUUUCCUGUCCAAAAUAACCCCUUCCACAUAUACUUCAGGCUUCUCUGGACCUUGUCUGGGUUUAAUCACAGGCUUUGGGACAAAAUGUGCAUUAUUAAGAAGUAUAAAUAUUUUCAGAAGCAAUCAAAGGGUUGAAAGAUUGAUUCGGCAUGUAGAUUGGAUUUAAUUCGAAGCAGCUUUGUUCUAAUGAGGACUACUGGGAUACAAAGACGGCAGCCGCUUAUGGCCACCAGUUGGGAACCUCGACUGGCUGCAGCAACCUGUCAAGAAUUCCAAGGAACUGCCAGGUAUUGAACAGAGGGGUGGUGGGGAACACGAUGGUCUAUUGUUUGCAGCCUUUCUCUAAGGCUGGGUUAAGAUUUCAUAAGUCAAAUUCACCAAAGUCCUAUUUUACCAAAAUGACAAUUCAGCUUCUUGCUGUCCACAGAGCCAAAUUCUGCAGUCCCUCACUUGGGGAAAAUCCCUAUGGACUUUGUGGGUGGCUUUGCCUUGAGGAAGGGUGGCAAAGCUUGGCUGAGCCUCAACUCCAGCCAGUUUGGGAGCUGUGUAGCAAUUUGUCCUGCUCCCAGACCUGGAUGCUUUCACAGUUCCAUUCAGUUUUGCUAUCUGCACUUCCAGAUGUGAUGGGACCUUUUUGUAUGGGGAGAUGUUUAUCCCUUGCAGCUCUGUGAGGGCUUGGAAGCUCCUGUCCUUGGUGACCCCAACAAGGGGUGACCCCAUCCUGCUUCCCACCUGCAGUGCCCAACAAAACAUUCUUGGGAUGAUACUGAGCCAAAGGGAGCUCUUGACUGCUGUCCCCUCAGACUGAGAAAACCUCAACAGUAAAAUGUGAGUGUGGGCCGUGGGGGGGUGUCACGUCACAGGUACUUGGUUUCCUAAAUGCUGAGCAUACAGUCAGAAUCACAGGAUAUACAGGAUCAAACACGAACCAGUUUCUCUCUCCCCUUAGCCCCCCCUUGCCUACUUUUGUCCAUAAAAGCAAUAGAAAGAGAGAAAGCUUGAAUUUUCUGAACUGUUUCACCCAUCCACAGCUGGAAUUCCAAAGCGAAAUGAAAAUGCCUUUAAAAUCAACCCUACAUGGGAGCCUGAGAGAACAAGUUUUCCUUUGUUGUAGGGUAUAGUAUUAUUUGCUGUAGGUUUUUGAUAUACAUUCUAAAUUAGGCCUGCAAAGGAAUGCUUCAUCUUUAAUUCAUCACUCUCAGCUGAAAGAGAUUAGCAAUGUCUAGCACGCACCCUUCGUAUGGUGCUGACCUCAUCAAGUAUGGCCUGAAAUUAAUUAGCCUCAUUCAUUCCAAAUGGAAAAGGAUAAUGGAGCUGCAUUUUAGAGAUGACCAUCACAAAUUGUAUGCAGCAUAUUUAAAAUCUUACCCCCCUUGCUCCCCUCUCCAUUUAAAAAAAAAAAAAAAAAACAACUAUGUAGAUUAAAAUUCUUUCCAGAACUUGCAAUAUGUCGGAGUUAUCGAGGCAUUAGGAGCAGAAACCAUUCCGUUUUUAUUUGUGGAACUGGGAGCCACAUUUUGUAUGUGUGGCUGUAAAAGCAGCAAGCCUGUCUUAAUGGCAGAACACCUGGAAUUAAUUUGAUAUUUCCAGGUGCUCUGGCAAACUGGGACAUCAAGCACUUGAUGUUUAAACAUUCUUCCACUGGCUUGCUUAAAUCAAUAUGAAAGUGGUGUCCCUUUGUCAUUCAUACAUGCAAAGUGCUAGCACAAACUCCAGCUUGGCUUCAGAGUCCUACAUCACUCAUAAUCUAAUUAGAAAUCAGAGCAGAGCUGAAGCAGCAUUCUUUGUGGAUUCUUGGGCAGCAAAUAGGGAUACUUGUCUUUUGUUUCCCUCCUCGAUUGCAUCGUUCACAAGCUUUCACACCACAUCUCUAAAGGUGGUUAGGUGCCUCAAGAUGUUGACAGGCAUGAAGGACAAGAUUAUUUAGGUGCCUAACCCGGGUGAUUUCAAAUGGAAUUAAGCAACUGGAUGUUACUAGGCUGGGAGGGGGGGAUGGCGGUGGUGUGGGGAUGGGGGGGAAAGAAAAAAACAAGCGGCCAGUGCAUAUUAAAAGCUCUAAUUUGUUGUCCUAAACUCUAGCAACGUGGGCGAUGUUUUUGCAGGGUAAAGUUGCCUGCAGGGUCCAUUUUCUGAAGCCUGCUAAUUUCUCCUGAGGUCAGUGGGUAGCGGGUGUUGGCAGCGCAGCCUCUCCUGGCUGGGCACGGUGGUCGCGUGUGCUCCGGCUGCUUCCCAAGGGACAGGGACAGUAAUGAAGAACCUGGGGUUUCCCACAGGAGUUUGGAAGAUGCCCAUGUCUAAGACAAUGGUGAGGAUUGGGCCAAAAUCCAGAUCCAGCCUUGAUUCCUUCCUCCAAGUAAGCCUGUGUUGAGCCACGAGUGCUGACGGAUGGCAGCGUCCUCUCCUCACAUCACCAGGAGCACCUGACACUACUGGAUGAGGCACCACAAGACUGUGAUUGAAGUGUGGGGCCCAAGCACUCAGGAAGAUGCUGAUGCAGCUGCCUUGCCCUGUGGUUCUUGCUCAUGGCACAAGCCACCAGAGGCCAGAGAAACAUCGUGGGGACUGUUUUUGUCUUGGCUGCUCCUCAUCAGUGCUUUGAGCUGCACGAAGCCAUGAGAACCAAGGCAACACGAGUGCACCCCCAGGGAUUUGCUCCUCUCAUGAUCUACACCUGAAGCACAGCACAAAGUUCCACCCUUUCCUUCUGCAGCAAGUUCUUGUUACCCAGUUCCUGCUGACAACAGGGAAGGAGGCACAAGCAAGCUCAGAAAAUGAACCACUAGAAGGUAAGUGAAAAGAAUAGUAAAUGCAGGCCAUUCAUGUAACAGGAUCCAAUUCAUUUUUAUGCCAGGGAGAUUUUUUAAAUGGAACUUCUCCCAGUGGAGAGCUCACAAUGCUCAAGGCCUGUUUCACUAUAAAGACAAUACAUAAUUAUUCUGGGCUUAUUAUUGUUUUUUAUCACUCCUUUUCCAGUUGCAGGGAGUGAGGGCAGAGAUGAGAUCAGGACCCAGUUUAUUGCUGUGCAGACUGAGCAGCACACGUGGCUGCAGGACCCUGUGGAGACAGGGAAAUGCACCCAGGAUGAAGGUCCAGGUGACAGAUCUGAGAUGGGACAAUCCAUCAGCAGCAAAAAUGGGGACUCAGCCUCCUGAGGCCUUCAGCCCUGGGCUCCUGCUGCUUGUUGCUUUCAGCAUAUUUUCUUUUCACACUUAUUUUGAAUCACCGAAAUGAUGAAUUGAAAAAAUGCUGUGUCAUUUGAAGAACUCUUUCUUGUAUUUACAGGAAACAGAUUAUCUGUUCUCUCAGGAUAGUGGAAACUGAAUACGAUGAACUCAUCUGGAGAAAAUGUAGGUUGGGUGUGACAGAGAAACUUGUGUUUUAUACCGCAGUGACAUCUUAAUUUCUGGUUUUGGCAUGGCAGACUCAGUGAUACUGAACCAUCCCAGCUCCUGCUUUCAGGCUGGGGUCAAAGCUGGACUUGGAAGAAGAAACUUCCAUGGAGAUAUGUGACUGCACUGUGAAUACUGUGCCUGGGUAAGAGAAAUUUUGUUUAAUUCAGGAUUUAUACAAUAUGUAAAGUCUAUACCAAGUCUGUUGUUCAUCCCAGCCUAGUUAAACUGCAUUUGACCACUACUUGUUCAACCCAGUAAAGUGUACCUGGAUACCACAGCAACACCUGCUCUAUUUAUAUAUAAAGAUUAUUUUGCCAGGUCAGUCUUUUGGGAUUUAGUAUUUCAUUCAUAAAGGAUUUUGUAACACAUGCCAGUUGUGCUGCCUCUCUACUUCCUGAUGAUUUAGGUGAUUUUCUCUAGCCAAUUUAUAUUUUAAUUAGCUGUAACACUUCUUUACUUUCUAAUUUGAACAACUGAGACUUAAGAAAAAAAUAAAAGCUAGAAAAUAACUCUCAAAGUCUGAAUGGGUACUCACUACAAUUUCCUCUUCAGUACUUGCAGGUCCUGGGUUAUCUUAGGUGACAUUUUCAUGUUGACUGCUCUGUGUUCUGCUCAGACAGAAGGCAGUGACAGUGGGUCAUGUGUUAUAUGUUUUUUUACAGAUGAAACCUACAGAGUGUCCUGAAGUCCAGUAAACUACUCAAUACCAGCAACUUCCACAUCCCUCUGUGCUCCUGCCAUUGCUUUGAACCAAUUUAUGUAUUCAUUUGGGCUCUAAGUACUGGGAUGCAUUCCUUCUUGCUGCAGCAGCAGGGGUACAGGAAGGGGUGUUUGAAACCACGCAGUCAUUUCCACCCUGGAUUUCAUGAGGAGUUAUUCUUGUCUCAGGGAUGACGCAUUCAAAUAUCCCUCUAUGGAUUCCAGUUCUCAGGCCAAGGGGUCAUGGAUGAUGACAGCUCACAUCGACUUUGGAGCUGUUGUAUCUUUUAAGAGAAAUCAGGAAGAUGACUUGGGAGAGAUGCUUUACUUUCUUUGGUAGGAGAAUCUAUAAAUUAACAUUUAUGUAAGUGAGACUCUCACCACAUUUUUAAUGUUGCAUCACAUUUUGAGGCUGGAAAACAGAAUAUCUUGGAACUAGGUGAUCUUUAAGGUCUUUUUCAACCCAAGCUUUUCUAUGAUUCUGUGACCUUCAGAACAAGAUGAACAUAGUGUUAAUAAUGCAAUCUUACCUCUCGUGCCCAUAGGUGCUCCUCAGCUCUGCCUUGAGGUGACACCAUGAAGCAAGAGGUGACAAACCGGUUCCUUGCUCAGGCUGAAUGUCACCAAACUGCCCAGGGGCCUGUUUGGUGGGGUUUGCACCCUGGAUUUUCAAGGAGAGGUGUGCUGCUGUGCCCACCCUGGCAGGAGGAGCUGGAACUGCUCAUUUACAGCUGUGACAUUUCUCAGGCAGGAAGGAAGGCAGGAGGCAUCAGGCUGUAGGGAGGAAUCAGAGCAGCCACCUCCAGGAAAAGAAACCUCCAGAACUCAUCCAGUUGAGAUGAGCUCCAGGGCUGGACCUGGUACAAAGGAUGGUGGUGCCUUUGUAUCCACCCAACGAGAUUUGCUGCUCCUAAAUGGGGCAGCAAAUACAUCCAACCCCAAAUGCUCUGCAGUGGAUAGCCCUGCUUCAAGAGAGCUCUGAGCAGUAUGAGUGUUGUAGGAUAUGUGCUGCAGGAUUAGACAAGUCCAAAAAGCCCAAGGAGCAGUGCAGAGCUCUGUCACCAACAGGAAAACAGCGUGUGAAAAGCUGCUGUAAUUCCUGUCCCCUAACUGGAGGCACAGACUUCCCAAGGCAGAGAGGACUUGCAGAACUUGGAAUCUCCAGUGAGAGCUCUCCCCAAGCCCUGCAGAUUUACCAGGUCAGCUCAGUCCAGGCCAAAGUUGCCGGGAAAGGUCCUGGGCUCUACUCCAAGUUCAGUGCUCUAUUGAUUGGAAGAGGUAUUUAUUGUAGAUCAGGAUCUUGAGCCAAGACAGCUGAAGCUGCAAGGACUAAAUUGUCUAUUCCCGACCCACAGAUAAAACAAAUGGCCAGUUUUAGCCUAAUCAUCACUUCUGCCUGAGGAAAGAGAAACUCUUUGAGGUAAGUUCCCUUGGAUAUAAUUCUUUCUUUCUAGGUUAAAGAGGGGCUGCAGCUAAUACAUAUCCUGAGUCAUAAUGUGGAUUUGCACCUUUCCUGUUAAAUAUAGCUGGUUUAUGUCCAAAGGAUCCCUUCUCUCCCUAAUGCUCACUCAUAUUGUUACAACUCCUACAUUAGUUGCAGGUGUGAAAUGCCAACUGAUCCACACUUCUCCUGCUGUCAGCAGGGGAGUAAUGUGUGUCAAAGGCCUGGUUCUCAGAGGGGAGGUCACCUGGAUCUCCAUUUGCACAUCUGCUUUGCUAAACACAAAACUCUGGAGGUUUGAAAAGCUCCAGUGUGCACAAAAAAAUGAGAUGUGAUCACUGGGGGCCAUACAGAAGGAACUGCUUGUGCCUGUCAUUUAGUAGGCAGGACACAGAAUUUUCCUUGUGUACAAAAUUCUUCCUACACUAUGGCAGGCGACGCUUUACUUGUGAGCUCUAUAUUAAUAAGAAAAAAAAAAAAACAAACUACAUUUCUCUGCAUUCCACGAGAAAACAGGAUACCAAGAGGUGAAAAAAGAGCCUGACACAUUAAGCAGCUUCAGAAAGAUGCCAAUAUUCAGUAUAUCCCUGCUUGGAGUGUGCAGUGAAGAUCAGGAAAGUGCCUGAUCAGAGCUCCUGGAGGGACCAUGCUGCUGGAGCCUGCCUUCCACAGAGGCAUCCUGCUUGGGUUCUGAGGGCUUCCAGAGGAGCUUUCAAAUCUUUCUAUUUCCUGCUGUUAGUGGAUUUUUUUCAUACCUUGGAACAAGUGUUCUGAUGGUAAUGUGUUUGCAGUUGAUGCCUGGAUAAUAGUUCUUGCUCAGGGGGCCUCUAACACACAGUAUUUUAUGCUUUCUACAUUUUAUAGAUCAAGGACUCGUCCAUAUAUGCCUGGUUCUUUCCUGAUUCCUGCUAGAAUCUAGAAUGUCCCUCAGUAUCUGCUGUAAGGAUGCCCACAAGGAAUCUAUACAGAAUAUUUUUUGGUUUGGCCUUUUAAUGUCAUAUGUUUAUGGCAUCGUGAUUCUGGUUACUCUGCACUAAUAGGACAUUUUAAACAGAUGCAUCAUUCACCACUAUGAACUGCAUUUUUCCUCUCUCAGUUGAGUAUUUCCAAAUUUUUUUUGGGGAUAAUGAAACCAAUAGUGACCUUUUUAUCCAAAAUGAGAAAACAAGGACUUGGUCAUCAGCUAUAUGCUGAUGUUCCAUGGAUGUAACUCCAUGUUAGAUGGAAUUUAGAUCCUGUAUCCUCACAGUAACUUAGCCAGAAUUAAAGAAAAGUGAUUUCUAAAACCCAGAGAAUACUGGGGAGAGCCAUGAGCUGAACACACAGCUCAGAGCAUGUUUCAUGAACACCUGAAAUUCCAGCCCUGAGCCUCUGCUGCUCAUGAUGGACAUCUCCUCAAGGAAAGCCAUUCUGAUCCAUGGGAAUCAGAAAAGAUUCAUUUUAAUACUGAGGAAGGAGAGCACUUGCAUUUUAAAGAAAAGUUUGAUUCUGGAAAAGUCUCUCUGUUGGUUUGUCCCUAAUUCUGUUGGAAAUGAUUGAAAUUAUUCCAUUGACUUUAACAAACUCUGUUUCCUACUGGAUUAAAUUUGUGCAGUGGAUUUGCUGGUGAUGUCCCACUAAUGAAACAGGUAAUUUUACAAACAUGUCAGGGAGGGUAAGUGCCCAAUAAAAAGAUGUCAGAUAGAGAUCCACAAAUUACAGUCUAUUUGUAAUGGAAAUAAAACCAGGAAUUGUUACUAUGAGUCAUGAAUUUCUUUAUAAUUGCUUCCACAUUUGGGGCAACUUUUUCCUAGGAUGUCUACAGAAACUCUGCAAUUCUUGGGGCUUUUGAUGGCAGUUAUGAUCACAACAACACAUCUCACUUCUGAUAAAAAUUACUUACAUUGGGAAGGAUUGUUUUUUUUCUCAAAUUGCUUUUCUGAGUCUUUAUCUACAACUAUUUUCUUAUCCUCCUCCUCAUUUUCUAUUUCUAAUAUAAAAACAGGAGUCCUUAUCAAUUUAGAAGAGCAAUAAAACUAAAGAAAAUUCAGGAAGAACUGUAUUUUAAAGUUCCAAUGCAGAUAAUAAGACUCUGGUUUAUGCUGCACCUCACUCAUGGACUCAGUUUUCCAUAGUGCAUUCAGUGUUGUAAUAAUGCAAAUCAAAUACAAUUUUAAUAACUCCUUCCAUUAAUGUUUUAAGACUGCAACACUUAUGAGCAUGAUUCUAAUUGCAUGAUUUUGCUACAGGCAAGUUUUAUAGAUCUGCCUGAUCUUUGGAUAUUUGCACCGUUUGGAUUAUUUUAAAUAAUUAAUUUUUGGAAGCAUUUCAGCCUCAGUAACAACAGUUGGGUUUGAUAGUGGCUGUCUUGUCAGUAAUUGUAUCUACUUCCAUGCCAGGAUAAACUAGAUAAAUUUAGAACUCUUUGGAAGGAGGUGGCUGAGGUUUAUACCAUGGCAAAUGUUAUGGAGAACGUUCUUAGGAGGAGAAUAUUUAUAGACUAUGUUAAUAGGAGCAAAAGAGGUUUAAAGUGAAUAACAUUUUGUCAUGCAGUGCAAUUAGUUAAUUAAAUUGCAGAACUUUCUGCCAAAAAAAUACCAAAAAUAUAAUCAACUUAGAAUGCCAUUAAACAUUCUUGCUUUAUGCAACUUUUAUUGCCAGUCUGUAAUGCACUGAAUGAUAGGAACACGGAAAAUACCUCAUGGGAGGAAUUAGUUUGACUUCUGACAUUUUUCUGUGUAUCUGCUGGGAGUUUCUGCCACAGGGGCCAUAGAAUCAUGGAAUCAAUAAUGCUGGGAAAGACCUCUAAGACCAUCAGUUCAGCCAUUCACCCAACACUGCCAGGUCCUUCACUUAAUCAUGUUCCUAAGCACCAUAUCCAUACGUUUUUUGAACACCUCCAGGUAUAGUGACUGCACUUCUUCUCUGGGCAGCCUGUUCCAGUACUUGAUCACCUUCUCAGUGAUGAAAUUUUCCCUUACAUCCAACAUCAACCUGCCCUGGUGCAACUUGAGUCUUCUUCUCUUGUCCUGUUGUUUGUUACCUGGGGGAAGAGACCUGUGCUGGCUGCAGGAUCCUGUCAGGGAAUUGUAGGGAGUGACAAGAGCCUCCCUGAGCCUCCUUUUGUCCAGGCUGAGCCCCCCAGGUUUCCUCAGGUGAGGGGUGAGGGGCUUGCAGGACCUCUGGUGUCACCCAACUGUUUUUAGGCAAGGUAAGCGGCUAUUUGAAAGCUUGCUCCUCUCUCCAGAAACCUGUGCAAAACCUCAGGCUUUCCUGUCAUUGUGCAAAAUGGGAUGAGGAAAAGGACAGCACGUGGGAAGAAGGCAAGUGGGGCACCAAAAGCCACAAAGAAAGCAUUUGCUGAGUGGCUGGUGAGGGCCCUUACCUUGACACUGUCCCCAGGGCUUCUCUCCACCUGCAGGCUCUUGGCUCUCCUCCUUGUACGUGCUGGUCGUGCCCUCCAGCAUCACUUGAGAUCUGCAGCAGAAGGUUCCCUCCUUCAAGAUGAACAGAAACACCAACACAGUCUUGCCCACUCUUGAUUCCACAUUUCUUCUGUAGAGAAUUUACUCCAAAUUUUGCUCGUGACAAAUGCCUACACAAGGCUUGGACAAACAAGCAUUAAAAGCAGCAGAGGAAAUUUCCUUUAGGGGCUGAAGAAUAGCUAUGAACCAAAAGUUGCUAACUGUACCCUGAGAGGUGAUUUAUUGCCUGCAAAAAAUAGCAUUUUCUUCAGUGAAUAUGGCUUUACCCACCCCAACAGUGCAGGUCUUCCUGUGUGUUUGGUGAAUUCUGUGUCUGGCAUGACAGAAAAGAACAUCUCAUCUGAAAUACCCUGACAGCAUUUUCAUUGCAGGAAAAAAAUUCUAACAGUCUUGCUACAGAGUUUACACACUGACAGAGAAAUAGUGCACAGGUUGUGCAAAACCAAUGAUAAACUUUUACCUCAACAGAAGCACUUUUAGUCAAUCCUGUCUGAGAGGAAUGGAAGGGGGCAUAGACAUAAAAACCUUUGAGAAAUGUGAAUUUUCCAUGAAUGGAUACUCAGAAGUAUGGGUAAUUACAGCAGUAUUUGAGAAUUUCACUUCUGGAUCAACUCAGCAUAAAGUUCUCAAUUAUUCUUUCCCAGAAGUCUUCCCAAAGAAGAACACCCUGAUAUACUGAAUUAAUGACAAUGGAUUAUGUCUAGGGUUUUCCAUGAGAACUUUGUCCUGCAGAAUGCUAAGCAAGCAAAAAGGUUUGGAUUGAAUCAGUUUUCUCCACUGAAAAAAAGAUGUUAAAGACUUUUCAAAAUCAUUGCAAGUGUCCCAAUACAUAUUGUUAUAAGUGAACAUAUAUUUGCUUUGAAAUAUAUUUUGAUUUUAAUUUUUAAUUUGUAAGUGAAAGUAAAAAAAUGAAAUAUUUUGAAACUACUGAAGCAAAUGGCUCAGUUAGAUUUUUCACUUUUUAGCAGCUUAUUGGUUAGCCACAGAAUUAGCUGAAAAAAAAUGAAAUCUUGAAAACUCCCGAAGGACAGAAAAAAGCACUUCCCUGUCAGCUAUAAAAUGAAUGAAAAUUAUAAUGACAUUUUCAUUUAGCACAGAGAUUUACUAAAACACCCACAUUUUCUCAGAAGUUGCAAAGACUUGAACUCGGACGCACUUUCAGUUUCUCCCCAGGUGUGAUGCUUAAUGAGAAUGUUUUUACUAGACCUGGUCACCCACACUCACAGAUGAAGAGCUGGAGGUAUUCCAGUCUCUACAGGGGUAAUAAUCUCUGUUUCAUAUAUGCUAGCACAAGAAGGAAAUAUCACAGUUUUAUUUCAAACUAAUGUGUCUAAACUGAAAAUUAUAAUUCUUAAUUUAGAAGUGAGCUAUCCAAGGACAAAGAGCCCCAGAUGCUGUGAAGGGUUAAUCUUUGUAGGGUAGAGAGGGAAGGCCUGUGUAGCUUCACUGUGCUAAUGGUGUGGGGAAAGAACUUCUGAGAUGCCUGCUCAAUUUGUCAGGAUUUUAUCUUCUGAACUAUUACCUCCAGCUUUCCCCAGAACACCCUCCCCAGCCCUUUUAUCUGCGAGCUAUCUUCAAGUUAACUGUCUGCCUAUUGCCUUGGCUGAACCACACUAAUAGUCAGCUAAUUACACAUGAACACUCUAAUUUGCUUUGUCUUUCUCAAAAAACUCACGCGUGUGCAGGCAUGCAGGCAUGCACUUCUGCUGUAAAACUGCACCAGCUGGACCAGGAUAAAAUUUGAUGCAUUUGCUUUCUGCCCCCUCUGAUGCUUCCCCCCAGCAGGCCACCACCAACGCUUGUCAUUCCUGAUUUGCAACAUCACCUGUUGCUCCAACACCAGGCUCCUGUAGAGCAGAAACUGGAGCAAAGAAGAGAAAUACGUGUUUGUCAUUGAACUGAGCUGAGAAGAAGGAAGAGGAGAAUGAUAAGAUCAUAGCCUGCAGCACUUUGUUUAUGAGAACAUCCUUCCAGUGAUAUAUGUCUGCACCAGGUGAAAGUAUUGUGUCACCCCUAACAUAUUUUAAAUGCCAGGGCUGUCAUGCAAGAAGACAAUGAUGAACAAGUUUAAACAGAAUAUGGUUUUGUAGCCAUGUACAGAGUUACCCUUUGAAGGUUUGCACUGGUAGUGCUUCUUAGCAAAAUGUUUCCAAGCUCUGCUAUAUUCCCCGACAGAACCCCUCUCACACAGAAUUUAAACUGAAUGGAGACAUUUCUGUUGCAGGCAAACGGAUGGGGUUAUACAUAAAGCAGUGCAUUUCCUCAGGCAGGAUUUUCAGGCCAUUUCACACAUGCCCCCAGCCAUCCUAUCCAAGCUUGUCAUAACUCCUUGGAUAGGAACCCUGCUCCAGUCAGCAAAGAGGCAAAGAAAGGUCUGAGGAGCAGGGACUGGCUUUACUGGGAGGUUUACUCAGACUAGCACGCUGCUGUGGACUGAAUUCCCGUUAGCUGCUGCAGCUCCCAGACCACAUCACCUGCGUUCAUUCCGCACACAAGAAUUCCCUUUGCGUGCUCCGAGGCUGCCUGGCCUGGUGGGACGGGGUGAGCAGGGCUAUUUGGAGGAUUCUCUUCCAAAGUGCACUCCUGGGCCAAGUGAAAGGCGAAUGCAGAAGCCUUUCCUCACCAGGCAGAUAUGCCCAGAGUUAUCAUCACAUGGCAGUUUUCUUCCCAGAUAUUUAUCUGGAGCUCAACUGCACGAACACCAUCCCCGCGUUAUAACUCCAUUGCACAACACCACUCACUGGCUCAGACUGACAGCUCAAAUUGAGCCAACAUCCAACACAUGAUACUGAGAAUGGGCAUGACCAUAUCCACCUUGGAUUCAGGUGAAAGAGCUGUGGCUGUGUGCGUCACGUGGGAAUGAAGGCAACCGUGACACCGCGGAGUUGUGCGUCUUUGAGGAAGACUAAGGUCAGAGCCACUCCAUGACCCAUCCAGGACAGCAUUAAUAGCUUUACAGGAGAGAGGAAAGGGAGCUUCUGAUUGCCUGAAAAAACCUUCGAGGAGGACUAGAGGAAGAAAGGAAUAAAUUUCUUCAAGUGACAACUGGGAUUCUAACAGACUUAAAUUGUUCUCUAUAAAAUUUCACCAAAGCACCCUCAGCAUACUAUAGUGAUUUCAUCACUGAGAAGUUGGAACAUAUCUUUUAUAGGCUGGUUAAGGAAAUAUCCCAACAACUCUCACCUACCUAUUCUCAAGUAGAGAAAGGAAGACAAAACUCUAACAUGCUUUUUUAUUUCUGUGUGACUGGAAAUGCAUUUCUGCAUCUGAUCAGUCUCCUACAUUCUUUAGUGUGCUCAAAAUAUUCAGUGUUUAUGAGUUUGUCUUCUCUUAUUCUGGAAGUGAUUGUGAAGAUAAAAUGACAGUAUUUUAAUUGAAGCCAGAAUAGAAUGGGAUUAUAUGUCACCUAAUUCCUAGUACAAUAUGGAAGAAAAUAAAGAUCAACAUUGCAGGCAGACCUAGAUUGGAGUUAAAUGGUGUCAGCUCUCCAUUAAGAUGGACAAGUCCAUGAUCUACUGGAAAGCUCAUGGGUUUUGCCCUGAGAUGCAUUAUUAAAAUGAUGUGGGAAACACAGGUUUUAUGAUGGUUCUCCAUCCUUUUCUGUGUUGUCUCUGAAUGACAAUUUUACUGCCAUCUGGGAAGCAGCAAUACCACAGACCCUUUGACUUUUGCUCAGGUGGGAGCAAACAAGGCAGGGCGUAAAUAUAAAAUUUAACUCUGCCUGCCAGGGCAUCAACCAAUGCAGUAGAAAUUGUGUGGAAGUAGGGAGGAGAAAAGUUCAGACAUCAGAGUGGCCCUGUGUACUUGCUGUGUGUCAGGGGCUGAAUAAAAUCUGCAGAUACAUCUUUUUCACAUCACUUUUGUGAUGUUACUCUAAAUUGCAGUCAAAUCUGCUUCUGCUCCUCAGAACACUAAGCACUUCUCAGAGUUGUGUUGAAGGGUGAUGGCAGAGGAACCAGCCCCAGACAAAGGGGAAAAAUAGAUGAUUCCAUCUGCUUUUAACUGCAGUGGUUAUGAAGUGUUCAGCUGGAUCCUUCCAAAUGGCUCUCCCCUUCCCAUUGAGUAAGUUCUUGAAAAGUUUAAAAGUGAAUUUGUCCAGCAUGUGUGAUAUGAAUAAUGAAAUGCUUUUAAAUGUAAAUUUCACAAAAUAGCAGCAUUACCAUACAUUGCAGUGAAUACAGUUAAAAAAAAACCCCAAAAAACAACUCAAUAAUCCCUCCUCUGUAAUUUACAAUUAACUUUUUGCCUCAAGGUAACAGCUACAUUCACAAAAAUAAUGGUAAUAGAUUGACCUUGUUAUGAAUGGAUAACAAGCUGGAAACAAUAUAGUUUGUCACAGAGCAUUAACUGUUACUGUUGAAAUUGUAAAUAAUGUGUAUGGAACUUACAGUGUAAAUGGCUCCCCUUAAAAAUAUUAAUUAUGUCAAUUAAACACUUGAUGCAUAAUGGAUUAUUCUCAAACCUAUUUAAGUCCAUGUCAGACUGAGUACACCAUUUUCUAAGAUCCCAUUCCCAGACUACUGGAAAAAUCUGUGGCUGUGCUUUGACUGGCCAGGGUGGACAAAGGAAUAUUGCCUUAAAUUAAAGAUACACGGCUGCCUCUUCUGUUUACAUUUCUCACUGCUUUUUCUCAUCAGAGGAUGAGACUGUUCACAGACACAAGGCUCUUCUGAAGUGCUUUCAGGCUGCUUUGGAAACUGUUGAAAAGCAACCCACAUCCCAGUCACUGGAGGAUGUCCCUGGGAUACAGAGCGCUCUGCUGGCUUUUGUGCCCUGCUGGAAUCACUGGUGGUGGGGCAGAGAAGGACAGAUCAGCUCUUACACCUGGCUGGUUUCUCUAUCUAAGUGAUCUAACUCAGCAUUCUCAAGCCAGUGAAAGCUGAGGGUGAUGCUGUUCAAAUCUCUUUGUGUGCUCACCCAGGAGAAGGAGGUUGCUUUAUGGAGUGAUCCAGAGUUGAUAUAUAACACAUGGCUUAGACAAAAUUAGUUUUCUCCCAGUGUCUGAUCACCACCAAUUCAUGAACAUGACACUGAAAUGUACUUUUUGUGCUUCCCAGCCACAGCUCCUCAGCUGUAGCUCAAGACUGGACUUAACAGCACAAUACUUCAGUGUUCUGGCCAAUUACCACGUUGCCUUAUAAAGGAAGGAUUCCCACUAGAUUAUCCACAUAGAGAAAGUGAUACUAAAGUGACAAGCCACCAAGAGGUCAAAUAACCAGUUGCCAGAAGUUAAAAUAACUAGACUGUGGAGCAGCAAUAUCUGAGGAGCUGGCAUGUGUCCCAGGACUGGUUGUCAUACAAAUGAAAGAAAAGACAGCUGGAAUCUUUUUGGAUUGACUGUUAUUUUCUGUGAAUAUAAUGUAAAUCUACCACUCUGGUUUUUCAACCAGAUGCCUGAACUGGGAGUUGAGGAACUGAUUCAGUAAAAUACAAGGUCUCUUUAGAUCUCAUUUUUCCUCGUGUGAGUUUCACCUACUUUGUUUAGCUUUAUCCUUUGGGAUCAAGGACUGUUCAGAGUGUCUGAGCAUAAAGAGUCUGAUUACAGUUUGGGCUCCCCAGUAAUCCAAGCAAAUACAUUACAUCCUCUCUUGCCAAAAGGUGUGCUCUCCCAUCUGGGCAGCAACAAAGCCUCCACAAAUGUGUAACUGAGCAGGCACCUCUACCCACCAUGGAGUCAGGAUCCCAGCCAGGCUGGGUAAGCCACAGUUGGAUUUCCCUCCACCCAACCAUUUUCCCUGGGCAGCUCUUGUUUCACCAUCAGUUAAAGUUUAGCUGUUUGCUAUACAUUCGGUGCCAUCUCUUUCAAGAUGUAUAUCUGAGUGGGCAAGAAAGUUGGGGAUUAGCAAUGGGCAGAGGUCAAGUCUGUCAAGACUUUAAGCAUGUUGUUGGUUGUAAAAAAGAUUACAUUACUGGCAGCCCUUUGCCAGAUCAGUACUUCGAUGCCAAAUGUUAAUCCUUGCUGGGGACAGGAUGGCUUGUAAAUGUUAUGGGAGAACACAGCUUUUCCUGUAGAAAACAGGCAUUUAUGGUUUAAACAUGGAUUGUUUUCUCAUGCUUGUGUUUGCAUUUCAUGCCAAAUCACUCUUGCUUGCUAUGAGCUUCACUUCAGUACUUACAUUUAAUCACUUAAGGUCUUUAUUUGUAUAGCUGAGGAGAGAAUGGUUGAGUUCUUGAAGAACUGGGGAGUAGAAGAGCCAGAGCUCAGCCUCAAGUUUUGCCAAAGGACUUGCACUGUCAAACUGGGCAAAAGCAAUGUGCCCACUGAACUUUGCUUUUCUCAUCUGUACAAUGGAGCUCCAUGUAAAAAGGAUCCUGUAAAAUUUUAUUUGUGACUGUCAGAAGUUCAGUGUUUCUUGGAUCUAUAAAGCAAUCUACCUA